rnacentral:rRNA from 1 species
UACGAGGGGGGCGAGCGUUGUUCGGAAUUACUGGGCGUAAAGGGCGCGUAGGCGGCCUUCUAAGUCGAACGUGAAAUCCCCGGGCUCAACCCGGGAACUGCGUCCGAUACUGGGAGGCUUGAAUCCGGGAGAGGGAUGCGGAAUUCCAGGUGUAGCGGUGAAAUGCGUAGAUAUCUGGAGGAACACCGGUGGCGAAGGCGGCAUCCUGGACCGGCAUUGACGCUGAGGCGCGAAAGCCAGGGGAGCAAACGGG